UACGUAGGGUGCGAGCGUUGUCCGGAAUUAUUGGGCGUAAAGAGCUUGUAGGCGGUUUGUUGCGUCUGCCGUGAAAAUUCGAGGCUCAACCUCGAACUUGCGGUGGGUACGGGCAGACUAGAGUGUGGUAGGGGAGACUGGAAUUCCUGGUGUAGCGGUGAAAUGCGCAGAUAUCAGGAGGAACACCGAUGGCGAAGGCAGGUCUCUGGGCCACUACUGACGCUGAGAAGCGAAAGCAUGGGGAGCGAACGGG
rnacentral:rRNA from 1 species